rnacentral:rRNA from 1 species
AAUGAACGCUGGCGGCAGGCCUAACACAUGCAAGUCGAACGGAUCCUUCGGGAUUAGUGGCGGACGGGUGAGUAACACGUGGGAACGUGCCCUUUGGUUCGGAACAACUCAGGGGAACUUGAGCUAAUACCGGAUGUGCCCUUCGGGGGAAAGAUUUAUCGCCAUUGGAGCGGCCCGCGUCUGAUUAGCUAGUUGGUGAGGUAAAGGCUCACCAAGGCGACGAUCAGUAGCUGGUCUGAGAGGAUGAUCAGCCACAUUGGGACUGAGACACGGCCCAAACUCCUACGGGAGGCAGCAGUGGGGAAUCUUGCGCAAUGGGCGAAAGCCUGACGCAGCCAUGCCGCGUGAAUGAUGAAGGUCUUAGGAUUGUAAAAUUCUUUCACCGGGGACGAUAAUGACGGUACCCGGAGAAGAAGCCCCGGCUAACUUCGUGCCAGCCGCCGCGGUAA